GAUGAAGAACGCAGCGAAAUGCGAUACGUAAUGUGAAUUGCAGUAUUCAGUGAAUCAUCGAAUCUUUGAACGCACAUUGCGCCUGCCAGCACUCUGGCAGGCAUGCCUGUUCGAGCGUCAUUUCAACCAUCAAGCCCUAGGCUUGCGUUGGAGCCCUGCGGCUGCCGCAGGCCCCUAAAAGCAGUGGCGGGCUCGCUAUCACACCGAGUGCAGUAGAUUACUCUUCGCUCAGGGCGUGUGGCGGGUUCCAGCCGUGAAACCCCCUACUUCUCAAGGUUGACCUCGGAUCAGGUAGGAAUACCCGCUGAACUUAAGCAUAUCAAAAGCGGAGGA
rnacentral:misc_RNA from 1 species